GGAACGGAGCAAUCCGGUCCGC
rnacentral:snRNA from 1 species